AUCUUCACGCACAUGACUUAUUGGUAUAAACGGACAACCACUGGAACACGUCUGUUCAAAUUACGUUUUUAUAUCAAUAUAAUUUCUGUUACACACUUUAACACAAAAGUCAAAAAAAAAAUGUCCUCUCAUGUUUUUAUAGAAGAUAAAAUGGGUAGACGUUUGGACCGUUGUGUUUCAGACGCGUUAAUUAAAGGAUGUGGGGGCCUCGUCAUUGGAUCUGCCGUAUCUCUACUAUUUUUAAAAAGAGGAGCGUGGCCUGCAUGGAUUGGGGCUGGAUUUGGAAUCGGCGUCGCAUAUAGAACAUGUGAAAAGAACUUAAAUUCUUUUAAGUGAAUAAAUCUUUGUCGCUUAUAAAUAAAAAUAAACCAUUUACAUAGCAACAAAAAA